UUAGUAAUGUCGGGAAAGUAACUAGGAGAUUUCACUUUAUUUCCUUUCCCAUGUUUGUUUUGAGUAGGAAUGGAAAACAAAGUUUGUAUAAUUUUUCAAUUAUACCCAUAUUAAAUCAAAUAAAAAAAAUGCAUUUAAUGAUACGUUGUAAUUAUAAAUUGUUCAUAGGGACAAAAUAGUCAUGAAAAUUGUGCAUUGAAUGUUGGCUCAUUUUCCCAAACUUUCCCAUGAUGAGGGAAAACAAAACCCAAGUUAAGAGGAGGGCUUCACUUUUCCCCCUACUUUCCCAUGUGCUAGGCAACCAUUUUCCCAUGCCUGGACUUACCAAAUAUGAGAAAGCAAUUGAAUUCCCAUUCCCAAUCCUCCUUUCCUAUGAACCAAAUUGG
rnacentral:lncRNA from 1 species